UACGAAGGGAGCUAGCGUUGUUCGGAAUUACUGGGCGUAAAGAGCGCGUAGGCGGUUUGUAAAGUUGGGAGUGAAAGCCCAGGGCUUAACCCUGGAAAUGCUCUCAAAACUCACAAACUAGAGAUUGGUAGAGGGUGGUGGAAUUCCUAGUGUAGAGGUGAAAUUCGUAGAUAUUAGGAGGAACACCGGUGGCGAAGGCGGCCACCUGGGCCAACACUGACGCUGAGGCGCGAAAGCGUGGGGAGCAAACAGG
rnacentral:rRNA from 1 species